rnacentral:rRNA from 1 species
UACGGGGGGAGCAAGCGUUGUUCGGAUUUACUGGGCGUAAAGGGCGCGUAGGCGGCCUCUGCAAGUCGACUGUGAAAUCUCCGGGCUUAACCCGGAACGGUCAGCCGAUACUGCAGGGCUAGAGUGCAGAAGGGGCAACCGGAAUUCUCGGUGUAGCGGUGAAAUGCGUAGAUAUCGGGAGGAACACCAGUGGCGAAGGCGACUUCCUGGCCUGUUCUUGACGCUGAGGCGCGAAAGCUAGGGGAGCAAACGGG